UCUUCCGGUCUGUCGUUGGCGUCGCCGCCGUUCGCGUUGCGGUAGUAGCGCGUCCACCUCCCGGUCGUUUCGGCCCGCACGGUUCCUCCGAGGGUGCUCUUCGCCGAGUGUCCGAGGCGGCCGGUACGUU